rnacentral:rRNA from 1 species
CCUACGGGGCGCAGCAGUGGGGAAUAUUGCACAAUGGGGGAAACCCUGAUGCAGCGACGCCGCGUGAGUGAGGAAGUAUUUCGGUAUGUAAAGCUCUAUCAGCAGGGAAGAAAAUGACGGUACCUGACUAAGAAGCCCCGGCUAACUACGUGCCAGCAGCCGCGGUAAUACGUAGGGGGCGAGCGUUAUCCGGAUUCACUGGGUGUAAAGGGAGCGUAGACGGCCAUGCAAGCCAGGGGUGAAAGCCCGGGGCCCAACCCCGGGACUGCUUUUGAAACUGUGUUGCUAGAUUGCAGGAGAGGUAA